rnacentral:rRNA from 1 species
UCUGAUCAGCCAUGCCGCGUGCGGGAAGAAGGCCUUCGGGUUGUAAACCGCUUUUGUCAGGGAAGAAAAGGUUCUGGUUAAUACCCGGGACUCAUGACGGUACCUGAAGAAUAAGCACCGGCUAACUACGUGCCAGCAGCCGCGGUAAUACGUAGGGUGCAAGCGUUAAUCGGAAUUACUGGGCGUAAAGCGUGCGCAGGCGGUUAUGCAAGACAGAGGUGAAAUCCCCGGGCUUAACCUGGGAACUGCCUUUGUGACUGCAUAGCUAGAGUACGGUAGAGGGGGAUGGAAUUCCGCGUGUAGCAGUGAAAUGCGUAGAUAUGCGGAGGAACACCGAUGGCGAAGGCAAUCCCCUGGACCUGUACUGACGCUCAUGCACGAAAGCGUGGGGAGCAAACAGGAUUAGAUACCCUGGUAGUCCACGCCCUAAACGAUGUCAACUGGUUGUUGGGAGGGUUUCUUCUCAAUAACGAAGCUGAGGCAUGAAGUUGACCGCCUGGGGAGUACAGCCGCAAGGUUGACACUCAGGGGAAUUGACGGGGACCCCCCCAAGCGGUGGAUGAUGUG